AGGACUUUAUUGACAAUUACUAUAACUUAAACACAGUCCUGCUUUAAUAAGCUCAGCUAAAACUGAAGUUUGAAUAAUUUUUGUUAACUGAAGCAAGAAAUCUAUUAAAAGGAGCCCUCUAUUUUGAACUGUUUUGUAGUGAUGUAAUGGGGCCAAAUGAUUAAGCAUAGCUUAGAUAGCCAAAAUCCUCUGGGUCAAAUUACCCUGUCUGCUGAGAAGCACAACAGGGUUGAAAGAAACACAGAUGCAGGACAAAUGUUUCUGGUAAGAGGAAGAAAACUAUUACAAGCCUGUCCCCUUUUUCCAGGGUUGAAGCUAAUUUUGCUCUGCUCUCCUUCCCUCUCUGCAUUUUCCUGAAGGCUGGAGACUGCCCAGCGCUGAAAGCUCUGGAUACCCUCUCCCCAAGCACUGCCUUCUCCUCCUGUCCGAGGGAGCUGGGCUGGGUGUGCAGACCUGGCACCACUCUGAUCCUAGCUGGAGGAGAGCUGGACUGACUCAUUCACUGCCUGUUCCUGCAAAGCAGAACCUCCUCGUGCCCAGGGCCCUGCAAAUGACUGAGCCAUUGAGGAGGAAACAUGCUUCACACAGAUAUGCCAAGCUAUUGAUGCCUGCCAAAGUGGAUACUGCACAUUACAUAUUGCAAGUAUAUUUAGAUAACACCUGUAACUCCACAAAAGCAUUGGUGCUUUAUUCUACUGCAGAGGCAGAAAAUUACAGAGACAUCCACCUCCCACACUCUUCAUAAUCUGGGACUUCACUGAAGCUGGAGCAAAGACUGUGAAGAGGAGAAAGAUGCAGUAACAGUAACUACAGGUGCACACUAGGUUAUUCACUGUGGCCUGUAUACUUACAGGUGGCCACCAGAAUAACCACUCCCAGAGGGUUAUGAUUUGUAGGGAUAGAGGAAAAAGGCAGUUUUUUAAGGAGGAGUCUAAAGGGGUGAAAAUCAGUAACUGCUUGAGAGAUGCUAUUUUAUUUGGUACAGGGUGGCUUCAAUAAUCCAAGAAGAAGCUUUAACCUACCUUGCUUGAAUUCCUUCUGGCCAUUUGACAAUGCUGAGAUUUUAUUAAAUCUUCUGUGAGUUUGAGCCUUCUGAUUUUUUCUUUGAACAACCUUUCUUCCUACUAAAGGUUGUUUUCUCACAUACCUGUAGCAGAUACUCACUACCUGCCACUCUCCUGUAGAGCUAUAAUUUUUCCAGAGUAGUGGUGUUUCAACUUAAAUUAAAUAGAGGAUUUCCAGGUUUUAUUUUAGAUUUGUCAGAACUCUUAACUGCAUUUAGUUUUUUAAUUGAAUGUUCCAGUUUUGAACUGGAACAUAUGCAUGUAUAUGUUUUACUUAUUCAUAUGUGUACUUAUGGAUUUAAAUGCAAAUAUGAACCAAAAUCUCCCACUUAUUGGUUUCAGGAAGGUGAAAGAACAAAGAAUGACUGUGUGGUGGAAGGUGCAACCUAAAGUGUUCAAGUCUGUCCUUUACUUCAUUUCAAGUGAAGAUUAGAACAUCAGUCUUCAACAUCCAGAGAGAAGAGCUAAAAUUUAGACUGAAAUAAUGCCUAAUAUUUUUUUUUUCUGCCAUACAAGAGAUGGAUGGAGACAUAAACAAGAAGAACUAGUAGCCAAGUAAAGUGGAACAGUUGCUGGAAUGUUGCACAAAAACCAUAAUGUAGAGUGGUAUGUAGGUCUGCCACAGUCCUGGGAAGUGCCCUCAUUAAAAUCUUUUUUAUGUUAUGCUGCAGAACUUGCUUUUCAUAUGAAACACUUGGAGAAUCUGGCUUAUGACCCAAGACAAAAUGAGAAAAAAAUAUGAAAUAUCCCAAAAUGUUGUAAUGUAGGAGAAUCACGUCCUGCACACCUUUACACUAGGAGAAUUGAAGGAUUUGUGACACUUGUGAAUCUAUGCUCCAGAAUGGACAUCUGCACACUGGAAAACACUAAUCCUUUUUAAAAUUUGACUUUUGCCUUGAAGCCUGUCCAGAAGCACAGAAACAGAGUUGUCCAAAGGUCACUCAAAAUUGUAUCAACAAGUGACAAAGUCUCUGGCAGUAAAAUGUUGAUUUUAUGGAAGGUGAUUGCAGACAUCAAUGCCUCAGUUUCUUAGUGUGUUGUACAUAAAAAGAGCAAAAUUCAUUUGCAUAGUCAAGUUUAUGUACCUGGAAAUGUGUAUGAGUUGGAAAUAUAUCUACUGAUGUGAUACCAACAUGAAGCUUUCAAGGGCUGAUUUUCAGUACACAUACAGUUAAACUUAUAUUUGAGGUUUAAGGAAGUCAAUAAAGUUUAAGUUAAUAAGACGUUGGUAAUAGGA
ensembl:lncRNA